GACAGAGGAUGCAAGCGUUAUCCGGAAUGAUUGGGCGUAAAGCGUCUGUAGGUGGCUUUUUAAGUCUGCCGUCAAAUCCCAGGGCUUAACCCUGGACAGGCGGUGGAAACUACCAAGCUGGAGUACGGUAGGGGCAGAGGGAAUUUCCGGUGGAGCGGUGAAAUGCGUAGAGAUCGGGAAGAACAUCAGUGGCGAAGGCGGCCUGCUGGGCUGUUGCUGACGCUGAGGCGCGACAGCGUGGGGAGCAAACAGG
rnacentral:rRNA from 1 species